CCCUUUGGGGUGUGACUGCGUACCUUUUGUAUAAUGGGUCAGCGACUUAUAUUCUGUAGCAAGGUUAACCGUAUAGGGGAGCCGUAGGGAAACCGAGUCUUAACCGGGCGUUAAGUUGCAGGGUAUAGACCCGAAACCCGGUGAUCUAGCCAUGGGCAGGUUGAAGGUUGGGUAACACUAACUGGAGGACCGAACCGACUAAUGUUGAAAAAUUAGCGGAUGACCUGUGGCUGGGGGUGAAAGGCCAAUCAAACCGGGAGAUAGCUGGUUCUCCCCGAAAGCUAUUUAGGUAGCGCCUCGUGAAUUCAUCUCCGGGGGUAGAGCACUGUUUCGGCUAGGGGGCCAUCCCGGCUUACCAACCCGAUGCAAACUGCGAAUACCGGAGAAUGUUAUCACGGGAGACACACGGCGGGUGCUAACGUCCGUCGUGAAGAGGGAAACAACCCAGACCGCCAGCUAAGGUCCCAAAGUCAUGGUUAAGUGGGAAACGAUGUGGGAAGGCCCAGACAGCCAGGAUGUUGGCUUAGAAGCAGCCAUCAUUUAAAGAAAGCGUAAUAGCUCACUGGUCGAGUCGGCCUGCGCGGAAGAUGUAACGGGGCUAAACCAUGCACCGAAGCUGCGGCAGCGAACGUAUCACCCAAGACAACUUUACGGAGUUGACGAUUGACGGAGCGAAGCGACGUCAAAGCGUUCAUUAAAGUCGAGUUGGCUUA
rnacentral:rRNA from 1 species